GAUGAACGCUGGCGGCGUGCCUAAUACAUGCAAGUCGAGCGAACAGACGAGGAGCUUGCUCCUCUGACGUUAGCGGCGGACGGGUGAGUAACACGUGGAUAACCUACCUAUAAGACUGGGAUAACUUCGGGAAACCGGAGCUAAUACCGGAUAAUAUAUUGAACCGCAUGGUUCAAUAGUGAAAGACGGUUUUGCUGUCACUUAUAGAUGGAUCCGCGCCGCAUUAGCUAGUUGGUAAGGUAACGGCUUACCAAGGCAACGAUGCGUAGCCGACCUGAGAGAGUGAUCGGCCACACUGGAACUGGGACGCGGUCCAGACUCCUACGGGAGGCAGCAGUAGGGAAUCUGCCGCAAUGGGCGAAAGCCUGACGGAGCAACGCCGCGUGAGUGAUGAAGGUCUUCGGAUCGUAAAACUCUGUUAUUAGGGAAGAACAAAUGUGUAAGUAACUAUGCACGUCUUGACGGUACCUAAUCAGAAAGCCACGGCUAACUACGUG
rnacentral:rRNA from 1 species